AAGUAACUCCGAGUCUCGCUACGGAUGGCGGUGAUAGGAGUAACGGCUGGUUGGCACAGCCAUCGACCUACCUGUUCGAUUCCGAGAGCGGAUGCUUUGCACCGCAAGAACACGUAGGCUCGUAGACCAUAAAUAUCCCAACCGAAGUCGGGAUUCCCGCGUCUUCAGGCGCGGGA
rnacentral:ncRNA from 1 species